UACAGGGGGUGCAAACGUUGCUCGGAAUCAUUGGGCGUAAAGCGCACGUAGGCGGUUCGUUAUGUCGGAUGUGAAAGCCCUUGGCUUAACCGAGGAAGUGCAUCCGAAACUGGCGAGCUAGAGUACGAAAGAGGAUCGCGGAAUUCCCGGUGUAGAGGUGAAAUGCGCAGAUAUCAGGAGGAACACCAAUUGCGAAGGCAGCUCGCUGGGACGUUACUGACGCUGAGACGCGAAAGCGUGGGGAGCAAACAGG
rnacentral:rRNA from 1 species